rnacentral:rRNA from 1 species
CACGGCGCACGGGUGCGUAACACGUGGGUAAUCUGCCCUUCGAAGGGGAAUAACCCCGCGAAAGCGGGGCUAAUACCGCAUAACAUUCCUUGGACCAUGGUUCGAGGAUUCAAAGCAGCAAUGCGUCGGAGGAGGAGCCCGCGCCCGAUUAGCUAGUUGGUGAGGUAAUGGCUCACCAAGGCUAUGAUCGUUAGCUGGUCUGAGAGGAUGGCCAGCCACACUGGAACUGAGACACGGUCCAGACUCCUACGGGAGGCAGCAGUGGGGAAUCUUGCACAAUGGGCGAAAGCCUGAUGCAGCGACGCCGCGUGGGGGAUGAAGCUUCUCGGAGUGUAAACCCCUUUCGACCCGGACGAAUGCCCCGCAAGGGGACUGACGGUACGGGUAUAAGAAGCCCCGGCUAACUACGUGCCAGCAGCCGCGGUAAGACGUAGGGGGCCAGCGUUGCUCGGAAUUACUGGGUGUAAAGGGUUCGUAGGCGGUGUGGCAAGUCGGGAGUGAAAUCUCUGGGCUCAACCCAGAGUCUGCUUCCGAAACUGCUGUGCUUGAGUGUGGGAGAGGCGCGUGGAAUUGCAGGUGUAGCGGUGAAAUGCGUAGAUAUCUGCAGGAACACCCGUGGCGAAAGCGGCGCGCUGGACCACUACUGACGCUGAGGAACGAAAGCUAGGGGAGCAAACAGGAUUAGAUACCCUGGUAGUCCUAGCCCUAAACGAUCAGGACUUGGGGUGCCACCCGUUCGGGUGUCGUCCCGGAGCUAACGCGUUAAGUCCUGCACCUGGGGAGUACGGUCGCAAGACUGAAACUCAAAGGAAUUGACGGGGGCCCGCACAAGCGGUGGAACAUGUGGUUCAAUUCGA